GAUGAAGAACGUAGCGAAAUGCGAUAAGUAAUGCGAAUUGCAGAAUUCAGUGAAUCAUCGAAUCUUUGAACGCACAUUGCGCCCGCUAGUAUUCUGGCGGGCAUGCCUGUUCGAGCGUCAUUACAACCCUCAGGCCCCCGGGCCUGGCGUUGGGGAUCGGCAGAAGCCCCCUGUGGGCACACGCCGUCCCUCAAAUACAGUGGCGGUCCCGCCGCAGCUUCCAUUGCGUAGUAGCUAACACCUCGCAACUGGAGAGCGGCGCGGCCAUGCCGUAAAACACCCAACUUCUGAAUGUUGACCUCGAAUCAGGUAGGAAUACCCGCUGAACUUAAGCAUAUCAAUAAGCGGAGGA
rnacentral:misc_RNA from 1 species